rnacentral:rRNA from 1 species
UAGGGAAUCUUCCACAAUGGACGCAAGUCUGAUGGAGCAACGCCGCGUGAGUGAAGAAGGUCUUCGGAUCGUAAAGCUCUGUUGUAAGAGAAGAACGUGUGUGAGAGUGGAAAGUUCACACAGUGACGGUAACUUACCAGAAAGGGACGGCUAACUACGUGCCUAG